rnacentral:rRNA from 1 species
GAUGAACGCUGGCGGCGUGCCUAAUACAUGCCAGUCGAGCGAACGGACGAGAAGCUUGCUUCUCUGAUGUUAGCGGCGGACGGGUGAGUAACACGUGGAUAACCUACCUAUAAGACUGGGAUAACUUCGGGAAACCGGAGCUAAUACCGGAUAAUAUUUUGAACCGCAUGGUUCAAAAGUGAAAGACGGUCUUGCUGUCACUUAUAGAUGGAUCCGCGCUGCAUUAGCUAGUUGGUAAGGUAACGGCUUACCAAGGCAACGAUGCAUAGCCGACCUGAGAGGGUGAUCGGCCACACUGGAACUGAGACACGGUCCAGACUCCCACGGGAGGCAGCAGUAGGGAAUCUUCCGCAAUGGGCGAAAGCCUGACGGAGCAACGCCGCGUGAGUGAUGAAGGUCUUCGGAUCGUAAAACUCUGUUAUUAGGGAAGAACAUAUGUGUAAGUAACUGUGCACAUCUUGACGGUACCUAAUCAGAAAGCCACGGCUAACUACGUG